UACGAAGGGGGCUAGCGUUGCUCGGAAUCACUGGGCGUAAAGGGUGCGUAGGCGGGUUUUUAAGUCAGGGGUGAAAUCCUGGAGCUCAACUCCAGAACUGCCUUUGAUACUGAAGAUCUCGAGUCCGGGAGAGGUGAGUGGAACUGCGAGUGUAGAGGUGAAAUUCGUAGAUAUUCGCAAGAACACCAGUGGCGAAGGCGGCUCACUGGCCCGGUACUGACGCUGAGGCACGAAAGCGCGGGGAGCAAACAGG
rnacentral:rRNA from 1 species